rnacentral:tRNA from 1 species
GGACUCGUGGAGCAGUGGAACGCUCGUCAGCCUCUCACGCUGGAGACGCCGGUUCGAUCCCGGUCGGGUCUACGA